UACGUAGGGACGAGACGUUGUCCGGAAUCAUUGGGCGUAAAGAGCGUGUAGGCGGCUUGCUAAGUCUUGCGUGAAAUCUCGGGGCUCAACCCGAGCGGUCGUGGGAACUGGCAGGCUAGAGUGCGGGAGAGGAGAAUGGAAUUGCCGGUGUAGUGGUGAAAUGCGUAGAGAUCGGCAGGAACACCCAGGGGAAACCGAGCCGACUGGCAUCUACUGACGCUGAGGUGCGAGAGCGUGGGAGCGAACGG
rnacentral:rRNA from 1 species